UACGUAGGGGGCUAGCGUUGUCCGGAUUUAUUGGGCGUAAAGAGCGUGUAGGCGGCCAUGUAGGUCCGGUGUGAAAACUCGAGGCUUAACCUCGAGAUGUCAUCGGAAACCAUUUGGCUAGAGUCCGGAAGAGGAGAGUGGAAUUCCUGGUGUAGCGGUGAAAUGCGCACAUAUCAGGAAGAACACCAAUGGCGAAAGCAGCUCUCUGGGACGGUACUGACGCUGAGACGCGAAAGCGUGGGGAGCGAACAGG
rnacentral:rRNA from 1 species